UAUUGCCACUCAGAACCUUUUGAAGGAGAAGCUCUUACUUCUAAUAUAUAUUCAUAUAUUAAUUAUUUUUUUCAGGCAACAUGAUACUGAGAAUGAGGCUUGCUUUAGAAUUUGAUCACAUCAAUGACUGUCUGCACUGAACAAUGGAGCAUGAAGACUUGUAACAUGGUGAGGAAAGAAAAACACUGAAGCUGCUAAAUGGAAUUUAAUGAACACAUAUCGAUUUCUACUAAAUGCAAGAAAGAAUGAAGAGGCUGAGCCACAGUGGAGAUGAUGCCGAGUUGAAGAUGUGUCUGGUGGUUAAAGUAAAGCCUGAUGCUGUGUAGAACAGUACCACACAGGAACCUGUAGUGAGAGGUCCAUGAAGCAAGGAGACAGGAAUCAAGAUCAUCCCCAAGAAAAAGAAAUGC